GUAUGUCUUCCUCUAGAAUCCAUGAAUUGAGGCGAUCGGCCUCCAGCAUCGCGACCGAGCUCUGGUCUCCUGAUGAAUUGUACAAGGCCGAUCCCCAGGUCGAUAGUUUGCAGCCGAUUUUGAAGACGCUUGAAGUGGACUCCGAUCGAUUUUACGCGUUCCGUCUCUCACUGGUGGUGGCGCCGUUUGAGGCUCUCGAGAGAUACUGGGCCCCGCAGGGCGAGCGCACCGAUCUUCUCGUCGAUGACGGCGUCUUCGACGUGGCGUGCACGGAAAUGCGGUGGGGUGGGCGAGCAGAUGGGAGCACAACAGGCAUCCUUGCUGAGCAGUGCAAGACAACCUCAUGGUUCCGCUUCUCGAGCACUCUCUCUCGGCGAUUGUUUGUCGUCGAUCGCUCCGCCGUGCACGUGCAGACCCUCGUUUCAGCGCUGCGCUACUCGUUCUCUCAUCUCUUGUUUCCAGCGGACUCGGAGAUGUGUGAGGGGACGUGCACUGUACUGUUCCAGUUCAUUGUGCACCAUUGGUCGAGGCUCUCUGGAUUUCUUCCUUUGCUGUACUUUCUUUUCGAAAUGCAGGAGCGGGCCUUCUCGGCGUUUUACAAACAUCUAGGUAGCCUUGUUCAGACGAGGGUGAACAGCGAUAUCGCUGCGUGUGACGCCCUGAAGCCGAAAAAGAGUGGCAAGAUGUUCUCGUGGUUCUCCUCAAAGCCAAGGGAGGCGGAGCUUGGCGUGAACGACAGGCUGGAGAUCAUCGACACUCUCAAGUCGAUACUACCGCCGACGUUUGAGAAACGGUACAUGCUUGCCCUCGUGAAUCAUGAGCACUUGGGAAAGAUGCAGCUGUUCUGUCGCGAGUAUGUGGGCUCCCUGAAGGGAGAGGCAUCCACGUAUCAGGCGCUCGCGGAAGGAUUCGCCAUUCAUCCGCUCACCUCGAGCCCUGUCAAGGAGUGGUACCCAACGAGCGCUCUCGAAGCUGUGGCGAAAGAGAACGCUGCUAUGAAGAAAGCGAUGACCUCGGUGCAGCGGUUUGCAUUUCGCAAGAGCUCUCUCGUGAACGAGCUUGUUCUUCCGUAUCUAAAGGAUAUAUCGCAGUGCGAGUGGGAAAUCGGCAUCAUCGCACACUCACUCGUGGCUUUCUACGAGGAUGUGGUGAUGCGUGCCAAGAGGGUAAGCGAAAACGCGAUGCUGGUGUCUGGAGAGGUACCCCUGCCGCCGGGGUGUGAAGCUUCCACGCGUCCAGAGAGCCUGGAAAAUGCCCGCGAGGUAAGUCAGAGGUUGACGUUGGAGUUCUCCAAUAUAAAGGAGCAGUUCGACGCGGAGGUAGCACAUGCGGAAGCAGCGAUCAAGACACGCACGAGGCGUCUCUGCAUUCUCUGCGGGAGUGUCGUGAAGGCGAUAGCCUCUUGCACGAACGCAGAGUACUACGAGGAGUACUUGUGUCCACUUGCCUCACCACUGCCUGAUGAAGUCACCGACGACUACCUCGCGUCUCAUCCACUCAAGGGGUGCCUUGGUGUCAUGGAGGGGCAGGAUGAGUUUACGUACACUAUGGACCGUGAGGGUGCGUAAACGUAGCGAACCACUCGCUAGGAAAACGAACCAAUGAAAGCAAGCCGUACCGCCUUUUUUUUGUUCCUUCGCUGAUGGAAAACCCCGUCUGCUAGCUACAGCGAUGCUGUCUCUCUCUUUCUCUCUCUUCAUAUU
rnacentral:misc_RNA from 1 species